rnacentral:rRNA from 1 species
GACGAACGCUGGCGGCGUGCCUAAUACAUGCAAGUCGAACGCACUCUCGUUUAGAUUGAAGGAGCUUGCUCCUGAUUGAUAAACAUUUGAGUGAGUGGCGGACGGGUGAGUAACACGUGGGUAACCUGCCCUAAAGCGGGGGAUAACAUUUGGAAACAGAUGCUAAUACCGCAUAAAACCUAACACCGCAUGGUGUAGGGUUGAAAGAUGGUUUCGGCUAUCACUUUAGGAUGGACCCGCGGUGCAUUAGUUAGUUGGUGAGGUAAAGGCUCACCAAGACCGUGAUGCAUAGCCGACCUGAGAGGGUAAAUCGGCCACACUGGGACUGAGACACGGCCCAGACUCCUACGGGAGGCAGCAGUAGGGAAUCUUCCACAAUGGACGAAAGUCUGAUGGAGCAACGCCGCGUGAGUGAAGAAGGUUUUCGGAUCGUAAAACUCUGUUGUUGGAGAAGAAUGUAUCUGAUAGUAACUGAUCAGGUAGUGACGGUAUCCAACCAG